AGCUAUAAACUACUACUAUAUACUUUAUAUAAAUAAUUUGUGCAUGUUCUAUAUAAAUAGUUUUUACAUAUCUAUGCAACAUGCCAUAAUACAUUUAGGCCCUUAGCUUAACCUUAUUGUAUCUAUGCAACAUGCUAUAAUACGUUUAGGCCCUGAUCUUAACCCUUUUAUACAAUACUUAUAAUUUGUUUGACAUUUAGGCCCUUAUCCUAAUUCCUAAUUCCCAAGGUUAAACCCAACCGUGCUUUAUUUAGUUGCUUAAAGCUUUAGUUUGUUGAUUGUUAUGUUUUAUCAGCUGUUAUAAAGCCGCUCUCCAUGUUUUUACCUUUGAACAUGUGUGCUUGAAAACUUGCUGAAACGACAACGGAACAAUUUUUAUGUUUUUUGUUAACUGUUUAAACAGGUG
rnacentral:lncRNA from 1 species